rnacentral:lncRNA from 1 species
GGACGCGCGGGCUGGCCGUGCUGCCCAGUGCAGUGGGCCCGGCCCGCCGCUCCCAGGACCUCCAUAUUGCCCAAAAGAAAGCCGGACGAAGGGGACACAGGCGACUUAAGAGGUGCCAGACCCGGGCAGGGAGUGCACUACAUCUCAAAGAGGAGACACUUGAGGAGGAAGGUGUGAGUGUAGGCACACGCUGGCCAUGUGCACAUGUGAAAGUCAGAGGACAACUUGAGGAAUCAGCUCUCCCCUUCUCCUAGGAGUUGUCUCAGCAUUUAAGAAACAUAUUGGCUGUUCUUUCAGAGGUCCGGAGAUCAUUGUCAACACCCGUGCUGGGUGACUUGCAACCUCCUGUAACUCCAGCUUCAAGAGACACGAAACCCUGGCCUCUCCAGGCUCAAGCUCACAUGCUCGGACAAAGACACACACCCAUAAUCAAAGUAGAUCGU